rnacentral:rRNA from 1 species
ACGUAGGAGACUAGCGUUACCCGGAUUUACUGGGCGUAAAGCGCGUGCAGGCGGUUCAGCAAGUUGGAUGUGAAAGCGCCCAGGCUUAACCGGGCGAGGACAAUGAAGACUGGUCAGCUAGAGGACGGUAGAGGGGUGUGGAAUUCCGGGUGUAGUGGUGAAAUGCGUAGAGAUCCGGAGGAACACCAGUGGCGAAGGCGAUUCGCUGGGCCUACUCUGACGCUCAGACGCGACAGCAUGGGGAGCGAACGG